rnacentral:lncRNA from 1 species
CUAUCACGUUGGCGUCGUCGUCGUCGUCCGAAUACUUUUAGUUUUCGCACUCUAACUUUAGUAAAAGUGAAUAGAAAUCAAUGAAAUUUUAACAAAAGGUUUAUGACCACAAAAGGAAGGUUGGGAUUGAUUUUGAGAGUUUUGGUCCCAACAUUUUAGGAAUUAGGGGCCAAAAAGGGCCCAAAUAAGCAUUUUCUUGGUUUUCGCACUAUAACUUUAGUUUAAGUGAAUAGAAAUCUAUGAAAUUUUGACACAAGGUUUAUGACCACAAAAGGAAGGUUGGGAUUGAUUUUGGGAGUUUUGGUUCCAACAGUUUAGGAAUUAAGGGCCAAAAAAGGGCCCAAAUAAGCAUUAUUCUUGGUUUUCGCACAAUAACUUUAGUAUAAGUAAAUAGAAAUCAAUGAAAUUUUAACACAAGGUUUAUGACCACAAAAGGAAGGUUGGGAUUGAUUUUUGGAGUUGAGGUCACAACAGUUUAUGAAUUAGGGGCCAAAAAGGGGCCCAAAUAAGCAUUAUUUUUGGUUUUUGCACCAUAACUUUAGUAUAAGUAAAUAGAAAUCUAUGAAAUUUAAACACAAGGUUUAUGACCAUAAAAGGAAGGUUGGGUUUGAUUUUGGGAGUUUUGGUCCUAACAGUUUAGGAAUAAGGGGCCCAAAGGGUCCAAAAUUGAACUUUGUGUGAUUUCAUCAAAAAUUGAAUAAUUGGGGUUCUUUGAUAUGUCGAAUCUAACUAUGUAUGUAGAUUCUUAAUUUUUGGUCCCGUUUUCAAAUUGGUCUACAUUAAGGUCCAAAGGGUCCAAAAUUAAACUUAGUUUGAUUUUAACAAAAAUUGAAUCCUUGGGGUUCUUUGAUAUGCUGAAUUUAAAAAUGUAUUUAGAUUUUUAAUUAUUGGCCUAGUUUUCAAGUUGGUCCAAAUGCUUACUUGCUUAAUCCUGUUGCCCCUUGGUGGAGCAUAGGCCACUAACGAUAUUUCUCCACCUUGUUCUGUUCUUUGCUAGCCUCUCCAGAUUGUGCCACUUGUACCCUUCUUUCUCCAUCUCGGCUGCAACAUUCCUUCUCCAGGUGUAUCUUGGUCUGCCCCUGCUACGCUUUCCUUGUGGGUUCCACUGUAAGGCUUGCCUUGUAAUGUUAGUUUUUGGCUUCCUCAGUGUGUGUCCAAUCCAUCGCCAUUUUCUCUUUUUUAACUCUUCAUCAACUGGGGAUUGGUUGGUCUUUUCCCAAAGAUCUUUGUUUGAUAUCUUCUCAGGCCAUCUGAUGUUAAGGAUGCGCCUGAGGCAGUUGUUAAUGAAGACUUGAAGUUUAUGAAGCAGGUUUUUUGUUGUUUUCCAAGUCUCAGCUCCAUAUAAGAGAAUGGUUUUUACGUUUGAAUUGAACAAGCGUAUUUUGGUCUUAAGUGUGAUAUUUCGUGCUUUCCAGAUUGACCCCAUCAUGUUAAAUGCAGUUCUGGCUUUGCCAAUUCUGAUCUUUACAUCUUUAUCUGAGCCGCCAAGAUUAUCCACUACGCUUCCAAGGUAUGUAAAGGAUUCCACUUCUUCUAAUGCUUGGGUGUUAACCAUCAGACUGGCUUGGGACUUUGUGUUUGACUUUAACACUUUGGUCUUGUUUUGAUUGAUGGAAAGGCCCGUUUCUGCUGCUCUUUUCAACCUGCUCUAGUUUGUCCUGCAUUUGUUGGUGGUUGUGGGAUAGCAAUGCAAUGUCAUCGGCAAAGUCUAGGUCAUCCAGCUGAGUGAACAUGGUCCAUUGGAUGCCAUUUCGUCUGCCAUCUGUGGCUUGCUUCAUGAUCCAAUCAACUGCCAGGAGGAAUAGCAUAGGUGAAAGGAGACAGCCUUGUCUUACCC